UACGUAGGGGGCAAGCGUUGUCCGGAUUUAUUGGGCGUAAAGAGCGUGUAGGCGGUUAGGUAGGUCCGUUGUGAAAACUCGAGGCUCAACCUCGAGACGCCGAUGGAAACCAUCUGACUAGAGUCCGGAAGAGGUGAGUGGAAUUCCCAGUGUAGCGGUGAAAUGCGUAGAUAUUGGGAGGAACACCGGUGGCGAAGGCGGCCCCCUGGACCGGUACUGACGCUGAGGCGCGAAAGCGUGGGUAGCAAACGGG
rnacentral:rRNA from 1 species